rnacentral:rRNA from 1 species
UACGUAGGGUGCAAGCGUUGUCCGGAAUUAUUGGGCGAAAGAGCUCGUAGGCGGCCUGUCGCGUCUGCUGUGAAAAUCCAGGGCUCAACCCUGGACCUGCAGUGGGUACGGGCAGACUAGAGUGCGGUAGGGGAGAUCGGAAUUCCUGGUGUAGCGGUGAAAUGCGCAGAUAUCAGGAGGAACACCGGUGGCGAAGGCGGAUCUCUGGGCCUAACUGACGCUGAGGAGCGAAAGCAUGGGGAGCGAACAGG